rnacentral:misc_RNA from 1 species
UUAACUAUUAUAUAGUACUCAGACGACACUGACAUUCAGGGUUUUGGGUCCUCUGGCGGGCGCUUACCAGCCGGAGCCGGUAGCCAGGCCGGAGCGCGGCGGCCCGCCAAAGCAACAAAGGUAAUAAUAACACAGGGUGGGAGAUCUACCCGGUAGGGCAUGAGCUCGGUAAUGAUCCCUCCGCAGGUUCACCUACGGAGA